CGGACGGGUGAGUAACGCGUGGAAAACCUGCCGUAUACUGGGGGAUAACACUUAGAAAUAGGUGCUAAUACCGCAUAAGCGCACAGCUUCGCAUGAAGCGGUGUGAAAAACUCUGGUGGUGUACGAUGGUUCCGCGUCUGAUUAGCUAGUUGGUGGGGUAAUGGCCUACCAAGGCAACGAUCAGUAGCCGGCCUGAGAGGGUGAACGGCCACAUUGGGACUGAGACACGGCCCAAACUCCUACGGAAGGCAGCAG
rnacentral:rRNA from 1 species